AAGGCAGUUGUCCACCAGACUGAGGACACAGCUGGUAGGUUAUAACAUAGCAUAGCACAAACAAGGAGAAGUAAGAUGCAGGGCCAAGAAGAACAAAGACCAAAGUGGAGAAGUGUAGAUGUGCAGAAAUGACACUGUGUAGGAACUUUGUAAGGAAGGAAGGGAUGCCUAAAUGACAAGUGACACUCCUUUGGGACCUUCACCAGACCCUUCAUAUCAUUACCAGUAAGGUGCGUCUACAGGAACCCAGGACACUUGUACAUUCCUACAACAUCAGUAUCUUCAAGAAAUCUCUAUUCUGACAAAAUUCUGCACGUGGCCUUAACAAUUUGAUAAAAGUUAUUGCUGAGUCCUUGCCAGUGUCUGACAGCAUUGUCCCAGAUGGAACAACUCCAGGAAAGAAACUUUGGGAAGCUCUAAGGGGCCAUGACGGAACUUCUCUGGAUCCCAAGUGUCUGGAAGACUUGGACUGUUACUGAAAGAGCAUGACUUAUGUCCUGGAAUUGAUGAUGCCUUCCUGUAGGAGGAAUAUAAGAGGCACUAAGGUUAUAGAACAGAUGCCGAAAUGGCCACGUUUUCAGUGCUUCCUAGACUCCGACAUUUGCCAUCGAAGAAUCAGAUACACAAAAGGAAAAUGAUCUCGGUAUAAGGUGAAGUC
rnacentral:lncRNA from 1 species